rnacentral:misc_RNA from 1 species
CCUGCAUUCAACUACCUGAAGCCAUGCAUCUGUAAUGAACUUGAGCUGAGAUUCAGGGGUGCAAUGUAUGUCACUAAGUUUCUCAAGCAAUUGAUUGCUUGCCCAUCGUUCAUAAUAAUGAGUGUAUCUCUCCAAAGAAUUUUUUGCCAUUUCUCGCCUCCUCUCUGCUUCAUCAUACGCUCCCUCUUGUUUAGCUGCCUCGUAUCGAUUACAAGCAUAGAAACCACCAGUCCUCUCACCAUGAUCUGACCAUGCACCAAGGCAUAGCCAGCAAAACUCAAAUUUACAGGGUGGCGUGCAUGUCAUGUGCAUACACCCUUGGUUUUUUUCAAUCGGACGCUUGCACUUUGGGCAAGGCUUGGAGUUGGCAAGUAUCCAAUUCAUGUUUUCAGACUCUGCACUAUUCUUCAAAAUCCACUUCGCCACAGUUCCACAGUCCACAGGACGGUGAGCUUCCUCUGUGCAAUUCCAGCAAAAGCUGUACGAACAGAGGCAGGAAACAUCAAAGCUUCCACCACCACCACCAAAAUCAACAGCAUACUCGCACCCUGGAGCAGGACACCACUUUGUCUUUCUGUUGUCUUCAAUGUAGGAUCUAAGAAGAUAACGAGAGUAUUUAUCCUUAACUUCAUCAGAUGCCAACAAAUUUAUCAUGUCCUGACCAAUAGCAGCCCAACAAGAUGGAUCAGGGCAUCUCAGCAUCAAACAUCCAGGACCAUCAUUUAUGGUUGUACUAAUGUAACCUGACCAGCAUGACCUACAAAAGGGAUGCCCACAAGCAGCUGAGGAAAUCUUAUCGUGAGGAAAGGGUUCAAAACAAAUCCCACAAGUAAGUUCUCUAGCAUUGGAAAAUUGAACAACUGGUGUGUCCAGCAAGCCAACAGAUUUCCGGACUGCCUCUUCAUCAGCGAACCAUUCAUCAUGCACCUUACUAAUGCUCCAAUUAUAGUGACGGAGUAAGAUGCUUGCAUCAAAUCUAGAUAUUGAAAGGACAGUGGACACUCUAGUAAUAUCAUCUUCUUGGCAUCGUCGUAUAUCUUCUUCCUUCAGGACGGUAUAACUUUGCUGCGUCCUGCUCAACACAGCAUCAUCAAGAUCAUCAGGGGCCUCGGCCAUGAAAUCAUAGUCAGGGCCAUCAUCAUCAUAAUCCUCACCACCAUUGCCAUCGCCGUCACUGUAACAAUCCUCCUCCAUGUCGCCGCUGUAGAAAUCAUCGUCCACAGAAUCAACAUCGUUGGCGUCCAUCAUAUCGUCCUCAGAAUCCAUAGCGAAAAGGAGCUAGGAAGAAGAGGAUAAUCCGAAAAACCUAAGAAAAAUUCGAGGGUUUGGGGUUGUUUGGUAAGGAGGAAACAGAUUGCAAAGUUCGAAAGAAUGAGGGAGAAUUUCUUAGAGAUCUGUAUUUAUAAGACUGAGGGAUUCUCUUUUAGCAGGCUUU